rnacentral:lncRNA from 1 species
UUUUUUUUCUUCUCAGCUUCUCUUCUCUUCUUCCUCGAUACCACCGAAGACGUCUCGAGCUUCUUCCAUGGUCGACGACUCUUGCGGUGAUGAUGAUUCCAAGUGAUGAUGGCUUCUAAUCGAACCGUUCCUUCGUCAAGGUUCUUCGAUUUUCUAAUCCGCCUCGCCUUUUGAAGAUAUUUGAAUCAGCUCCUCCAUGAAUCCUCCGUCGAUGUUUCCCCCGACGCCGUCUCUUACUCCGAUCCUGGUUUAUUUUGAAAAAUAGAUCGCGACUUCUUCUUUCUCCUGAGAAAAUUAUUCUCUCAAAACCAUCGGGGAAGAGAGAAACUUCACCGGAAUUUUGACGUCCCAUUUCCCGGUAAGUCUCUUUUGAUUCUUCACCUUUGAGCUGAAAUCUUCUUACUCUUCCUGCCUUUGUACUGAUCCCUUAACUUCUCAAUUUUCUGAUCUUCUCUCAGCUUUUCAGGCAAAACUUUAUUGCCUCCUCUGCUGUGUAAAACAACCCCAUGUCUCCCUUCAGCUCCUUACUUAGCUUGUUUAAGACUUUACUUAUGUCGUUUAACUCGAUCAGUUGAGAUUCCUUGUGUGAUUGAGGUACUCGUCUCCCUUCAGCUCCUUUAUUGCUGUUUAAGACGUUCUCUCCAAUAACUUAGUUUCUUUGUUUCCGUUAGUCAUUCCGGUUUCUUUAGAGAUCUUGUUUCGGUCUUCCUCAGCUACUCCACCUUGAGCUGAAACCUCCUUGCCUUAGAACUCCUUGCCUCGCAUCUUCCUAGCAGGUAACUUCCUUGUAACCAUUGAGCUUCCUUGUUAUCGAUAAGAAGUAACUUGUUUGCUCUAACCUUAUUACUUCUUCUUGUGCGAGGUGAAUCGAUAACGAAGUUACCUGCCGUGCCAGUCUCUUAGGCUAUCUUGAGGAGUUCACAACACAGAUCAAACUUUUGCCCUGGUAAGGCUUUAGUUAGAAAAUCUGCUGGGUUCCUGCUAGUAUGGAUCUUAGAUAGAGUAACACUGCCAUCUUCGACUACAUCUCUGAUGAAAUGAUAUUUAGUGUCAAUAUGCUUUGUUCGUUCGUGAUGAACAUGAUUCUUUGCUAGGGCUAUAGCGCUUUGUGAAUCGCAAUUGAUCUUGACACUUUCUUGCUCGAAUCCUAGUUCUUUGCAUAGUCUUCUUAGCCAUAAAGCUUCUUUCGCAGCCGCGGUUAGAGCCAUGUACUCAGCUUCGGUUGUCGAAAGAGCUACUACGUCUUGUAAUCCUGAUUUCCAGCUUAUAGUAUUUCCCCAAACUUGAAACACAUAUCCAGUAACUGACCUUCUUCUGUCAAGGUCUGUUGCGUAAUCAGAAUCACAAAAUCCUUCUAUGCUGAAUUUUGAAUUCUUAGUGAAUGUAAGACACCUUCCUGUAGCUCCUUUUAGGUAUCUUAGAACCCACUUAGCAGCCGCCCAGUGUUCUUUUCCAGGUUCAGACAUGAACCGACUUAUCAAUCCAACGGCAAAACCUAGAUCAGGUCGAGAGCCAACCAUAGCGUACAUAAUACUUCCUACGGCACUCGCGUAUGGUAUCUCUUCCAUGCAACUUCCUUCUUCUUCCUUUUGAUCUGGUGUGAGGCUCCUUAGUUUAAACUGAGAUGAAGUUGGGGACACCACGGCCUUUGCAUCAGUCAUGCCAAACGUUUCCACUACCUUCUUUAGGUAGCUUUCUUGCGAUAGUAUUAGGACUCCUUUUGAUCUAUCUCUUAUGAUAUCCAUUCCUAAUAUUCUUGACGCUUUUCCCAAGUCUUUCAUCUCGAAUUCCUUGCUCAAACUCUCUUUUAUUUUUCUGAUUUCUUGAUGAUCUCCUGAGGCUAUGAGCAUGUCAUCAACGUAUAGAAGUAAAAACACAGCUUGGGAUGUCUUGACAUUCUUCAUGUAGACGCAUGGAUCCUCUUUACUUCUCACGAACUGUUGAGUUUUCAUGAAACAAUCAAACCUGUGAUUCCAUCGCCUUGGUGAUUGUUUAAGCCCAUAUAAGGAUUUCUUGAGUAAGCAUACUUUGUUCUCAUCCCCUUUCUUAACAUAGCCCUCAGGUUGCUUCAUAAGAAUCCUUUCUUCAAGAUCGCCGUGUAAGAAUGCCGUCUUCACGUCCAUCUGCUCUAGCUCGUAAUCGUUGUUAACCACAAGUGAGAGCAUUAUGCGAAUUGAUACGUGUUUUACCACCGGAGAAAACACUUCGUUGUAAUCAAUUCCUUCUUGUUGUGAGAAACCUUGAGCCACCAAUCUCACCUUAUAUCUCGGCUCCUCUACUCCUGGGAUUCCGGGUUUUAACUUGAAAAUCCACUUGCAUCCUACUACUCUUGCAUUCUCAGGUUUCUCUAUCAAGAUCCAGGUACGAUUUCGUUGGAGUGAAUCCAUCUCUUCAUCUGCUCCAUUCUUCCAUUGCCUUUGUUUCUUACUUGUCAUUGCUUCAUUGAAGGUUUUUGGUUCUUCAAUCUCUAACUCGUCUGCUGCGGCUAGUGCAUAUGCUACGAAAUCUUCAUCUUCAAAUCUAGAUGGUGGUUUUAUUUGCCUUCUAACACGAUCCCUAGCCAGCAUGUAGCCGUCAAUGCUUGACUCUGCUUCGGGCUCGUUUUCAUCUUCUUGACUUGUUUCGUCCUCUUCUGUUUCAUUCGAUGUCUUGGGUAAUGAAGCUCCACCUAGAAACUGUAACCCCUCGUCUUCUUUCUUAGAUGGAGUAGGACCUUCGAUAAGAUUUUCUUUAAAUGUUACCCGUCUCGUCUCAGUCUUCUUUGGAUCUCUCUCUGUGUCUUUAACAUCAUGUAUCGUGUGUUUGUAUAGUUCUUCUUCAUUGAACACAACGUUUCUACUUGUGUCACAUCUCCUAUCUUCUUCAAUCCACACACGAUAUCCUUUAGUACCAAACGGAUAUCCCAUAAAUACUCCUUUUAUGGCCCUUGGACUCGUUUUUGCUUGAACCUUAUGAACAAAAGCCGAACACCCGAACCUCUUAAGGUUGCUUAGGUCGCACUUCGUACCUGUCCAUCUCUCCUCAGGUAGUUCAUAAUCAAUUGCAGAGUUAGGAGAUCGAUUGAUCACAUAUGUGGCCGUUGAAGCAGCUUCGGCCCAGAACUCUUGCCCUAACCCUGUCUCCACGAGCAUGCACCGAACCUUGUCCAUGAUUGUUCGGUUCAUCCGUUCUGAAACUCCGUUCUGCUGCGGAGUAUACGGACAUGUCUUGUGUCUCUUAAUGCCCGAGUCUUUGCAGAGUUUAUCAAACUGCUGAUUGCAAAACUCACGGCCAUUAUCCGUUCGCAAGCACUUUAUUUUCUUCUUCGUCUGAUUUUCGACAGCUUCUUUCCACUCCUUGAAUUUUCUGAAGGCUUCAUCUUUUGUUUUAAGAAAAUAAAUCCAGACUUUUCGAGAGUAAUCAUCUAUGAAGCUUAUGAAGUACUUACUUCCCGAUAGACUUUCUGGAGUUGAUGGAGCUCCCCAUAAAUCUGAAUGAAUGUACUCUAGAAUUUCUUUAGUGGUAUGCUUCGCAGCAGGGAAGCUUUGUUUGUGAGAUUUUCCCAAGACACACGUCUCACAGAACUCGAGUUUGUCCACCUCCUUCUUUGGUACAUAUCCUUUUUCAACCAGAACAUUCAGAUUCUUUAAACUCAUAUGACAUAAUCUGGAGUGCCAUAUAGUCGUCUUGUCUAUCUCUGCCCUUGACACAUUUGCUUCUCCUCUAGAUACGGUCCCUUGUAGGUAGUAUAGUCCUCCAUUGAACUUCCCUGAUAUGAUCUCCUUUCCAUCCUUGUAGAAUCUGAUCAUAAAGUCUUUCCCUUCGUAUUGGCAUCCAGAUCGUUCAAGCAUCCCGUAAGAUAUCAAGUUCCGGCUCAUAGUCGGCAUGUAUCUCACAUCCUUGAGAACCACCACGGUUCCAUCGGGUCUCACAAUCCUGAUCUUGCAUAUUCCUUUUACAUCACAGUGGGUAUUGUUAGCCAUAAGAACUCUCCCUCCUUCGAAUUCUUCUAGGUCAAACAACACGUCUUUGUUUGGUGUGAUAUGGAAAGAACACCCCGAGUCCAUCACCCAUUCUUCUUUUGAGUCGUUAGUACUGACUGUGAGCACUAGUGGUUGUUUCGGUUCUGCAGCAACGUUGGCAGAUUUAUUUGACCUUCUGUCAGGACAUUCUCUCUUCCAAUGUCCCUCUUUGCCACAUAUGAAACACCCCUUAUUGUUUUUAUCGUACUUGGGUCUAGAUUUAGAUCUACCGUGCCUGCUCUUAGAUCUUCCUUUCCAAUUCCUGUUUCCUCCUUUGUUUGACCGGUUUGAUUCUCUUCCUCUGUCCUCAACGUAUAGGCCCUCAUCUUGAGACUUAGAGAGUUUACCACUUUCCAAUAACUCCCUCUCCUUAGAUCGUGCCGCCCCGGUUACUUCGUUGAUCUUGAGAGUGUCUCGACCGUACUUGAGGGUCUCCUUUAGUUGAUCAUAUCGUUGAGGCAUUGAGUUUAGUAGUAGUAUAGCUUGAACUUCUUCAUCAACCUCCACGCUCAAGUUAUUUAAAUCUGCUACUAGCUUUAGGAAGUCAUCAACGUUUGCAUCAAUAGUCUUUGAAUCGUUCAUCUUGAAAGUGUAAAAUUUGUGUUGCAGGUAGAUACGAUUCGGUAAGGACGUCUCCGUGUACAGCGUGUUGAGAGCUGUCCACAUCGCAGCAGCCGUAUCACAGUUGCAAAUCUUCCUUAGGACUUGGUUUCCAACAUUCACAACAAUGAGAUCUUUUGCUUUCUCUGAUUUUCCGAGCUUAACGGGAUCAAUGGUCGGGAUGCUUUCUGCUUCUUUCUUCUCUGCGUCCUUUAAGGUAUCAUCUCCCUCUACCUUGUUGACUGGUGAAUCCGUUAGAAGCUUCUCAUCAGUUAGGAUAUCCUUUAGCCCUAGGACCCCAAAGUGAGCCAUCAUCCGAACCUUCCAUAGCGAAAAAUCUCCUGUUCCAUCGAACCGAUCUAUGUCGAUCCUCUCGAUCUUUGGUUUAGUCAUUCUUGUUCAAGCACCCUUGCAAUCAAAACCUGGAUUGCUCUGAUACCACUUGUAAGGAUUUAACCUUAACUCUAUGCUUUGAACUUAGAAUGGAUUUAACUUCACCGAAACCUUUUAAUCUCUUUCUUAGAAACCCAAAGCUUAUUACAACUCUUGAAAGAUGAAAGCACAAGUCUUUUGCUCUCUAUCCCUCGUAUGCUAGUUAACCGUAUGACCCUUCUAUGAAACCCUCGUGCCUUUAUAUAUUGGUCUACAAAGUUCCUAAUUCAUAUUGUAUUAAGGAAAACUUCCUAAUCCUAUUUGUCAUUACACCAGAACUAACCGACAUCUCUUUUGUUGCAGGAUCAGGUAGUUGGGCCAGGACAAUUGAGGCCCAUUUGAUCAACAUCUCUCCAUAAGAUUUAUGAUCCAGUUGCAAUAACUAAUAUACUUGUUUCUUUUCCUAUAUAAAAUAAUAUUACUGAAAAGUUUCCAAAUGUAUCAGCUCCCAAGAUAUAUAUUUAUGUCUACACAUAUUUUCUGUAAAAAUGUUAAGAGAUAUAUUUAAUGUAUUGUUCGAAAAUAUAUAGCCACAUCAUGUGAUUCUAGACAUGUCUAAUUUUUUCAAUGUAAAUUAUACUCAAC